GUCGAGAAUCUUCCGCAAUGCGCGAAAGCGUGACGGAGCGACACCGCGUGAUGGAUGAAGUCCUUCGGGGCGUAAACAUCUUUUAUAAAGGAGGAAAUUUUUGACGUUACUUUAUGAAUAAGGGGCUCCCAAUCUCGUGCCAGCAGAAGCGGUAAUACGAGAGCCUCAAGCGUUAUCCGGAAUCAUUGGGCGUAAAGGGUGCGUAGGUGGUUUGAUUAGUCUCCCGUUAAAACUUCGAGCUUAACUCGAAAAGAGCGGGGGAAACGGUCAAACUAGAGUAUGUGAGAGGUGUGUGGAACUCAUGGUGUAGGGGUGAAAUCCGUUGAUAUCAUGGGGAACACCAAAAGCGAAGGCAGCACACUGGCACAUCACUGACACUGAGGCACGAAACCUAAGGUAGCGAAUGGGAUUAGAAACCCUGGUAGUCC
rnacentral:rRNA from 1 species